rnacentral:rRNA from 1 species
UACGUAGGUGGCGAGCGUUAUCCGGAAUGAUUGGGCGUAAAGGGUGCGUAGGCGGCCUGCUAAGUCUGGAGUGAAAGGUACCGGCUCAACCGGUACAGGCUCUGGAAACUGGCGGGCUAGAGAGCAGGAGAGGGCGGUGGAACUCCAUGUGUAGCGGUAAAAUGCGUAGAUAUAUGGAGGAACACCAGUGGCGAAGGCGACUUUCUGGACGAUAACUGACGUUGAGGCACGAAAGUGUGGGGAGCAAACAGG